AUGCCUUCAGCCAAAUGGUACUGCUCUGACUGCAAACAACCCUGGGUUUUUUUGUUUGUUUGUGGCUUGGUCCAAAAUUUGCCCCAAACAAGUGUUAUUUCACACAUCAUAUUUCCAGAGCUAAUUACUGCCUGGAAUAUUGCACUGCCCACUCUCUUGUUAGAAGCCUUAUUCUCUUUUAUUAUUUUCCUCUUGAGUUAGUGCCCCAAUACCUUACUAGGUGAUUUUUUUGUGAGUUAGGCAACUCACUGUUCUGGUAACCACCUCUCAUUGGGAAAAGAAUCUAUUGGUUUGAAUCAAUAGGGUUUAAUUUCACAUUACAGACAAUUUUUAUUAGAAGAGUUAAAACUGUAAACAAAAAAUACACUCAA
rnacentral:lncRNA from 1 species